rnacentral:rRNA from 1 species
AGGACACGCUGGCGGCGUGCUUAACACAUGCAAGUCGAACGGUGACGAGGAGCUUGCUCCUCUGAUCAGUGGCGAACGGGUGAGUAACACGUGAGCAACCUGCCCCAGACUCUGGGAUAACAGUUGGAAACAGCUGCUAAUACCGGAUACGAGACGGAGAGGCAUCUCUACCGUCUGGAAAGUUUUUCGGUCUGGGAUGGACUCGCGGCCUAUCAGCUAGUUGGUGAGGUAAUGGCUCACCAAGGCGACGACGGGUAGCCAGCCUGAGAGGGCGACCGGCCACACUGGGACUGAGACACGGCCCAGACUCCUACGGGAGGCAGCAGUGGGGAAUAUUGCACAAUGGGCGAAAGCCUGAUGCAGCGACGCCGCGUGAGGGAUGACGGCCUUCGGGUUGUAAACCUCUUUCAGCAGGGAAGAAGCGAAAGUGACGGUACCUGCAGAAGAAGCACCGGCUAACUACGUG